rnacentral:lncRNA from 1 species
CAAUAUUCCAAGAAUUUGUAUUUUAUUUAUUAAAGUAGACAUUAAAGAAAGACACGUUGAAAAUUUUCCAGCUUUAUGCACGCUUUUUGUGGUUCUAAUUUUUUUUUUGGUGGCUUUAAAAUCUCUAUUUAUGUAUUCGGUUAAAAUACCUUCAAGGAUAUUGCGGUGUAUUGAAGUAAAACUAGUGCUCAUAAUGCAUGUUAUUAGUUUAAUAAUCAUUACAUGGAGUUUUUAUUUCUCAUGUCAGUAUGCUGUUCAACAUGGAAUAAAAAGAUGUACCAGAGAAGCUUCUCAACUUAUUGAAUAUUACUUUUUUACUCCAAAAAGAAGUAAUAUACAAUACAUUGGAAAAGAUGCAAAAACUCAAUUAAUAUUAUCUUUUUCAUCAUGUUUAUUAUGGAUGGUAUCAUUAUUCACGUCAACAUCUUCAAAAAAAAUUUCAAGUACUUGAAGAAAACAUUAACAUAUUCUACGUACUUAAAGAGUUUUUAUGAAAAAACAUACGACAAAUGUCGCACAAAAAAAUA